AGUGUACAACAGAUUUUGCAAUGUCUGGAUCUCACUUAGAGAACAAGUGAGCCCUUUAGGUUUCACUGAUAUUUUCUCAGGAACACUUUCCCUGAUUCUUGGGUCCAUUAGGCCAACCUGCUGUUGGUUUUCUGAGCAUCCUGUACAGCACUCACCAUUCUUUAUUGUUAUCCUCUGUAUAAUUGUCUAAACUUUCUACUCGGUAGGAAGAUGUGCGAGAGCAGGAUUUUCUUUUGCCUUGCUCACAACUGUUUUUCCAGCACCUAGAGGUUCUAUACUCCACAGAAGCAAUCACUGAGUGACUUUUAAGUGCCCCCUACCUCGCCACCCUCCACCGCCAAAAAAAGUUUAAAUGUGCUUGGGAAUGUAAGCACAAAGUAAGAAUGCUUUCAUGCAGUCACUGACCUUUAAGCUUUUCUCUGAAAAAGCAGCAACUGUCCUUCCAAGAGAUGACUUUUAGCACCUCUAGCUCCUACUCUGCUACCUCCUCACCGUAUUUAAUACUGUACAGCUCAGAAACAGAGAAUGUUGGUGCUAAACAUAAUGAGGGUAGAAGCACCGUAAGCUAAAGCUAGCAUUAGCAUCAUGAUAGUAAUCAUCAUAUUAAAGUGUACAACAGUGCUGAGUGCUGUACCUUCCUCCUGCUGAUGUACUGUGGGUUUUACCACCUAGUCUUCUUCUAGUUUUGAAUGCUAUUUGUAGCCACUUUCACAGAAAUGGAGCCAAUUGUUUCUUAUAGAAGAAAAUCUGUAGUUCUGUAGUCUAUUGAUGACUCUUAAUUCGUUUCAAGCAUGUUUGAUGUUCAGGUGGCUGAGUAGCACUACAUGCAGCAUUACCAAAGAGGCUUAUGGGAUCUAUCCUGGUAUACAAGUUCCAUAUGACAUUACCCAUUUCGCUACCAUCUUUUCUGGAAAACAUCCUAAUUGAUUGUUAUCUUUACAUUUAACUAUCUAUAUUUACUUUCCAGUGCUUCUUCAGGUAGUCUAAUAUUUGCUUCUGAAAUAAAUUGUAUUCCCGAUGCACGUUUCAAUGUAAUAUGAAAGUAACAAAUGUCAUAUUUACUGCCUCUUUCAGGACAUUAACAAGGAGAGUAAAUGAGAUUGAGCCUAACAGCAACCCUCUACCUAUGAGAUGGGAAUGCUGUACUGAUUCGGUGACUUACUAUGUUUUAUGAUCCUUAUUUUAUAAACCAUUAGCUAAUAGUCCAGCUAGUACACAUUCAUUUUUAAGUUAAAAUGCAUGGGGUGACAAAUUUUAUGCUGAUUACUGUUUAUUUUUUAAUUACUAAAAUAAUGUAGAGAAGAAACGGCUGUUUUAUCAACUACAAAUUUCUAAUUUUGAAAGAAUGCCAUGUAAAAUAUAUUUUAAUAUGACUUAAAAAUGGUAAAAUGAUAUGUGUUAUGUUUAAACAUGUCUGGCUAGCAAAAAUAAAAAAAGAACGUGAUAUGCUUAUUUAUAAAAAUGACUGCCCUUAAAAUUAAGAAAACUGACCUAUCUUAUUUUUUAUAAGGACAGUUCUAUGAUACACAAAAGAUUAUUAUUACAUUACCGUAUUAUUAUUAUAGAUUUUUCUGUAUGUUUCUUUUAACAUCGCCCAUUUCUUUUGACUAUUGCUCAUUGCCAGGUGGCAAACUAUUAAUGUCCGUCUUUGAAGGUGUCAUUCAAAUAUAAAAACAGUCACUCAUAUCCCCUCUCAGUUAGUGGUCACCAAGCCAACUUCUACAUAUUUAGUUUCUUAAUCUUCCCUCAAAAUUGAAUCUCUCCAUCUAUUUAAUCACUAUAGUGGUUCUUCCCCAUUGUCUGCUGAGAAAUUAUGUGGGAAAAUUGAUGUAUUAUAUCUUAAUUUUCUUACUCCUAAAAUUUCAAAAUAGAAUGUUGUAGCAUGACUGCUUAUAGCUGUAUAUUUUGGAGAAGCAUCUGGUAUUCAGAGUUGUUCUAAGUCUUCAGUUGCACCCCUGUUAAUAAUUUAAAUUGUCCAGAACGGUAAACCAGAAUUAAUAAUGUGGAGAUUAAAUUAUUAAUCAAAGGCAAUGUAAAUAUAAGUUUAAAGCAAAAUCACAAGGUAUAUUUUGUAUAUGGUUGCAGAAUUAUUUAUUUAUUUUAUUCAAUAUUAAAAGUAACAUAUAAUUUCUGCUUUUCAGCAUGAUUAUUUGAUGAUUUCAUGUGAUUCUGUUACAUGAGUAUUUUAUUGGUCAUUUAUAUUUGUAUUUUAAAUGUCAAAAUAAGCACCCUAUGUUUGAUUUUAGAUUUAUUUCAACAGUGUAGUACUUCCUACUCUAAGCCUACUUUUAGUAGCAAUUUAUCUUUUCUUGUGGUGGUACUGAGUCUGCUAAAAAUGCAAAAUGAUAGAGGAAGAAUAAAUUAGUGAAGUUGUAUCUAGAACACUCUUGCAAGUAAACCAUGAGUUGAGUUAUCUGAUUAAGGAAAACAGAUUACAUUAAAGGGUAUUUGUGAAUUAUAGAUUUGUAUAAAGCAAGGUUUUGAUAUACAAGAUUUUUUUUCACAAGGUAGAAAUACAGGUAGUUCAAGGAGAACUAAAUUCAUUCUAUCUUAUUUGUUAUUUCAAUCCAUAAACAGAAUUUUCAUCCAUAAAAUGGAAGAUAUUGUGCUUAUAGUACAAAAUAAGUAAAAGAAUAUAUAGGCCACAGCUAGUUUUCUGGUAGAAUUUGACAGUAACAUUGAAUCAACUAUUUUUACAAUGUUUUCAGCCAAACUUGGCCCUGGGCUUUUGAAUACGAUGUUAUUUAGGACCUCAUCUGGUUUUUGGGUUUUUUUUAACAAUACAGUGGCAUUAAAUUAUUAAGGGGAUAUAUGUGUUUUUGUGGUGAGGAUAAUUAAGGACAUAGUCAUUGUUUAGGCUAUGCUGCUUUUAUUUAUAGCAACAUUGGGAUGAAGUCAGGAAAACCAGGUUCAAAUCAGCUUUAUCACAUAUCAAGAGCAUGAAAAUGCCAAGUUACAUAACUUCUAAGCCUUCCUCAUCUUCAAAGUGGGGAUAACAAUACUUGCUUUAUAAAUUUAUUGUGAAGAUCAAGUAAUUUAGUCUCCAUGAAGAACUUGUUACAGCACCUUAUGACAUUAUUAUCACUAUUAGGCAAUUUUGCAAUGACCCUUUUAAAGUAGGUCAGGCAUAUUUCCAUGUUAGGUUACCAGGAAGUUUACAAGAGGACAGAAUAAAACUUAUCUUUUCAUGUUUUUAUAUAAAUGCAGUAAAUUUGCCCCAGGAGGCAUCAGAAUAUGUCAAAUUGCCUUGUAUAUAUUAUGCACCUCCUCAAGUGACAGGAUUGAAUUUAAAUCUGAGGCAGGAAAAACGCAUCUUUUACAAUCAAGACAAGCUGAUAAUUUAACAGAUCAUAAAGUAUUGGUUCCUUGUUAAUAAACAGUUCUUCCCUAAAUUUAUUUCUUUCCUUUUGCAUUUUACAAUAGGCAACAAGAGGAAGCCAGGCCCACCUUUAACCCUUUGCUUGAAAAUCUCCUCAGCUAAAUACCCAAGUUCACUGCUGACAAGUUUUGUUACCGCUUAUAACCAUAGGGCACAAUUCAGCUGUUUCCUGCCGCUGUGUAACAAGGGUCCAUUAUCCCCUAGUUUUAAAUAACAUGUCCCUAAUUUCCUUCUGAGCUCUCAGCAGCAGCAUAUUUAAAAUCUAUAUUUUCACCAACAUUCUGUUUAUGAUAAUUUAGGUUUUCUGUAAGAUGAUCUCUCACAAAAUUGCUUCAGUCGUCCCAUAUACCCCAUAAAUAUAUACACCUACUCUGUACUCAUAGUGAUUAAAAAUUUUAAAAAAAAUCAUUGCAGUGGACAAUUUAGGUAGAUGAUGUAAUAUAGAUUUGAAAUGAUCUAUGGCACUACAUUAGAAUCAAC
rnacentral:lncRNA from 1 species